UACAGAGGUCUCAAGCGUUUGUUCGGAUUCAUUGGGCGUAAAGGGUGCGUAGGCGGCGCGGUAAGUCGGGUGUGAAAUCUCGGAGCUUAACUCCGAAACUGCAUUCGAUACUGCCGGUGCUUGAGGACUGGAGAGGAGACUGGAAUUUACGGUGUAGCGGUGAAAAUGCGUAGAUAUCGUAAGGAAGGCCAGUGGCGAAGGCGAGUUCCUGGACAGUGACUGACGCUGAGGCACGAAGGCCAGGGGAGCAAACGGG
rnacentral:rRNA from 1 species